ACAACAACAACAACAAAAAACCCUAUAGAUUAAAAGUUCACAAAAAUCUUAAAUUUUUCCAACUAAACGCAGUUCCUGACCAAAGAGCAAAACUCUAGUACUGGACCUCUCUGUGACAAGAAGACAAAGGAGUCACAUGGUAAGAAGUCAACAGAGUGAUGACGGCAAUCUGAAAUGCAAGAAUAUGUUUCUAGAGAUUAGUCUCCUAGGAAAUAAUAAGACUGUAACAACCUGGUGUUUAUGAUAUAAAUUGGAGUAUUUGUAAAUUAAUUAUAUAUACCCUGUAUGUGUAACACUCUCCAGGCUGAUCAGUUUAUAAAAGGCUUUUCAACCGCUGAUGUGAAGAAAAUACAACUUUUUAGCUUGUUAAGCAGCCAUUGUGAGUAAUGACCUUCCCCGAAUUCAUCCAGAACCCCUUCUCCCAUCCCCUUGUCCAAAUAACACACAGAUCGUCACAUCUCAUUACUGUCACGUAGGGUAGCUGCUUUUAGUAUGUAUGAUUGAGGAAUUAGUAAGAACGGGGGCCUCUCCACUGUUCUGGAAACCUCACCCAAUCAAGAGUUAGGCUUCAAGGUCACCGGGUCGGGGCAGCCGGCUCCACGGUAAGAGCAUCCAAAAGGACUUUUGUCAAGAUAAGGGUGGACGGAGAUCCCUUGGUGGUCUCCCGCAUUAUCCUGAUCAACUGGAAGUCCAGAGUGGCACCAGACAGAUUUACUACUUAGGAAAAGAGGUAAAUCACAGACGGCACACGUACCUUCUCUUUCAGGAAGACCUCCUUCAAACGAUACAAACCUCCAGUUACAAAAUACAUCAGUUCUGGGGGCCUAACGUACAGCCUGGUGAUUACAGUUAGUAAUAGGGCGCUGCACAUUUGACAGUUGCUGAGGGACCAGAUCUCAAAAAUUCUCAUCACAAGAAAGAAAUCGUAACAUGUAUGGGGAUGCAUGUUAACUAGACCUACUGUGGUGGUGAUCUGAUGAUAUAUGGAAAUAUCAAAUUCUUAUGUUAUGUAAACUAAUAUAAUGUUAGUGUAUAUAUAUAACUAAUACACUAUUAUAUGUCUGUUAUACGUCAACGAGAAAAAGAUCUUCCCUACGCCCCAGGCUGCAUCUCGGGAAUGAGAAUCGCCCAGUGAAACAGAUACAUCCGAUUUCUGAUAUCUGCCUUCGUACCAGCUCUAGAGAGUCACCCUAGUUACUAAACCCUCUGAGGCCGUGCAUCCUCCUGGUGAUCAAUGUAGUCUGUCCCAAAUUAAAGACAUUAAGGGAAGGACUGUCGGUUCACCGCUGGAAUGGAGUUUUUCUCUCCUGCUACAUGCAAACAAGAAAGCACGGCGCCUCCAUGACCACUGGCAGGCACUGGCAAUGGCAGAAAAUAAGACUGAGCACAAAGUUGAGGUCAGUGAGGGUGACGGGAAGGGCCGACUGAUGAGAAGAUUCACAAGGGUGGAGUGAAGGGUAGAGUGAAGUGAGGCUCCUGACCACAAGCUUGAAGGAGAUACUCCACACCUGCAUGACCCUAGUCGAGGCCCUGACUCACAGGACCCCAAAUGGCAAGGCCUACAAAUCUACACUUUAUUUCAGAAGAAAAGACCCGAUACAGCAACAGUAUUAAGCUCAAGAGUUUCAUCACAACCAACGGCUUCCUCAAAGCCAGAGGUCACGAGAGGCCAGGUUCAAACUCAAAUUCUCCUCCAUGUGCCUUCCCUCUUGGAUCAGGAACCACCUGACCUGGGCCUGGACCCCCUCAAAAGCAGUGUCCCAAGGAGCUUCAGUAGGGGAAUCCUGACACUCUGCUGAUCACCUGAGCACCGCCUUGGUGUGUAACGGGCUCGGCGGGAGAACUUUCCAGGAGUCCCAGGGCACCUCGUCAGGCUCCAGACCAGAUGCACGCCGUCGAUCCCACUGCUAUCUCUCAACAAUGCCUACGAGCCGGUACAAACAAUCAGAAAUCAUGGUUACAAAGCCACACUCUUAAUCAGGAUGUUUCAUGUAAGCCACGGAGGCCAACCCCGGGCUUGCUGGAAUGUCACACUGGCCGUAGACGGACAGACGCCUGACUCUGUGAUGACCUCACCGAGCAGCUAACCAACCAUCUCUGGAGAAGCUCCUCUUUCCGGUUUUCUUAUUAAGAGACAAUACAUAUAUUUCAUACUGUUCACACUGUAUAAAGUACCCUAACUUACACAGGAGAACACUCCUUUAUCCGCACUUAUUUGGAGAAAGAUGGGUAAUAAGGCAAAGUAUUCAUCAAGAGAAAGGCUCUGUUUAGGCAAACAUUGGCCCAAGUAUUGCCAAGGAUUUUUGGUACUCUUGUACCUAGGAGAAGGAUCUUUCUUUAGAGGCAGGUAGAUGUGCUUCAGAAAUAAUCCUACCACAGGCACAGUGCGUUAGUACGACGCAGCGCUUGGUUCCCUGAGUAGGUUUUGUAGAAGGACAUACUUCAGUCCUGAUGAUCUUACAUCUUUUAUCUCAACUUACUCCCUUUUUUUACAGUUCGAUUUUGAUAAUAGUUUGCAUUUGGUUUCACAUUACUAAUUUCAUUUUUCUUAUAGAAAUUGAUCAUUACACAAUCGUUUAAGCAGUUCUUUGCACCCAGCAGAGGUCCAUACGGGGACAUCUCUACAUUUAAGUGACAAUUUGGUUGAGGAACUACAUAUUCACAUACUUAUGACCUCCUCUGAAAUCAAACUGUCCUUCGAUUUUAGCCUUUCAUCAACUGAACUAAUUUAAAUAUUGAAUAUUUUUGCCUAGUUUUCUAUAGCUGAAACUUUCACACUUGUUACUUCUUAUGAUGUAAGCUAUUUCAAACUUUAUGGUAAGCAAGAACAAACUAGGAAAGAUUUUUUUUUAAAAAACCACCUACUCAAAGUCUAGACACAAAUAUUUUAUAAGAAGGUAACUCAGUAAGCUAUGCAAUGUCUGCCUGUUAGAACUGAGCAGCUGGUGGACUGGACCUGUGAACACCAGAAAGCAGGGAGGUUUGCAAUAGCUCCACUGUCAGGAUAUUUUAAUUUCCCUGUGUGACCAUGGUUUUGGUUGAAAAAAAAAAAAAACCCUCAAAAUUCUUUUAAUGGAUCUGGAAUAUAAAA